CCUACGGGGGGCUGCAGUGAGGAAUAUUGGUCAAUGGGCGAGAGCCUGAACCAGCCAAGUCGCGUGAGGGAGUACUUCCCUAUGGGUUGUAAACCUCUUUUGUCGGGGAGCAAAAGCCGGACGUUUCCGGCUGUGAGAGUACCCGAAGCAUAAGCAACGGCUAACUCCGUGCCAGCAGCCGCGGUAAUACGGGGGAUGCGAGCGUUAUCCGGAUUUAUUGGGGUAAAAGGGUGCGCAGGCGGAGUUUUAAGUCAGCGGUCAAAUCGUGGGGCUCAACCCCAUCCAGCCGUUGAAACUGGGGAUCUAGAGUGUGCGAGAGGUAUGCGGAAUGCGUGGUGUAGCGGUGAAAUGCAUAGAUAUCACGCAGAACCCCGAUUGCGAAGGCAGCAUACCGGUGCACAACUGACGCUCAGGCACGAAAGCGUGGGUAUCGAACAGGAUUAGAUACCCUUGUAGUC
rnacentral:rRNA from 1 species